AAAAGUAUUUUAUGAGAAUGAAAUAAGAGAAUGAAAAGCAAUUGCAUAGAUAAAGUAAAUAAAAUGCACAAAUUCCUAGAAACACACAAGUAAUCAAGUCUUACUGAAAAGACAAUAAGAAAUCUGAGUAGAACUAUCACAAGUAACUCAAUUUGUAACAUCACAGUCAAAGAAAAGUAUAGAUCAAUAUCCUUUAUGAAUGAAUUUGCAAAAAUCAACAAAGUAUUAGUAAGCCAACUCCAACAGCACAUUAAAAGAAUUAUAUAGUAUGACCAUAUGGGAUUUUCCCCAGGAAUUCAAAGGGUGAUUUGAAGUAAGAAAACAAUGUAAUAAAACACAUGAAUAAAAGGAAAGAACCUGCAUGCAGUGGUGCACACUUAUAAUCCUAAUGGCUUGGGAGGCUGAGGCAGGAGGAUUUAAAGUUCAAAGCCAGCUUCAGCAAUUCAGCAAGGCAACUUAGUGAAGGCCUGUCUCAAAGUAAGAAAUAAAAGAUCUGGGAAUGUGGCGCAGUGGGUAUGUGUGAAUACAAUUUACCUCUUUUCUAAUUUGGGUUUAUGUGCAUUGAAAGACUUAAUAUUAUUAAGAAGGCAAUACUACCCAAAGUGUUCUAUAAAUUUAAUGCAGUCUCCAU
rnacentral:lncRNA from 1 species